GUGCUCACUUUAACAGCACAUACACUAAAACUGGAAUGCUGACAGAUUAGCAUGGCACCUGCGCAAGGAUGACAGAUAAAUUCAUGAAGUGUUCCAUAUAAAA
rnacentral:snRNA from 1 species